ACUAAGCGUACACGGUGGAUGCCCUGGCAGUCAGAGGCGAUGAAGGACGUGCUAAUCUGCGAUAAGCGUCGGUAAGGUGAUAUGAACCGUUAUAACCGGCGAUUUCCGAAUGGGGAAACCCAGUGUGAUUCGUCACACUAUCAUUAACUGAAUCCAUAGGUUAAUGAGGCGAACCGGGGGAACUGAAACAUCUAAGUACCCCGAGGAAAAGAAAUCAACCGAGAUUCCCCCAGUAGCGGCGAGCGAACGGGGAGCAGCCCAGAGCCUGAAUCAGUGUGUGUGUUAGUGGAAGCGUCUGGAAAGGCGCGCGAUACAGGGUGACAGCCCCGUACACAAAAAUGCACAUGCUGUGAGCUCGAUGAGUAGGGCGGGACACGUGGUAUCCUGUCUGAAUAUGGGGGGACCAUCCUCCAAGGCUAAAUACUCCUGACUGACCGAUAGUGAACCAGUACCGUGAGGGAAAGGCGAAAAGAACCCCGGCGAGGGGAGUGAAAAAGAACCUGAAACCGUGUACGUACAAGCAGUGGGAGCACGCUUAGGCGUGUGACUGCGUACCUUUUGUAUAAUGGGUCAGCGACUUAUAUUCUGUAGCAAGGUUAACCGAAUAGGGGAGCCGAAGGGAAACCGAGUCUUAACUGGGCGUUAAGUUGCAGGGUAUAGACCCGAAACCCGGUGAUCUAGCCAUGGGCAGGUUGAAGGUUGGGUAACACUAACUGGAGGACCGAACCGACUAAUGUUGAAAAAUUAGCGGAUGACUUGUGGCUGGGGGUGAAAGGCCAAUCAAACCGGGAGAUAGCUGGUUCUCCCCGAAAGCUAUUUAGGUAGCGCCUCGUGAAUUCAUCUCCGGGGGUAGAGCACUGUUUCGGCAAGGGGGUCAUCCCGACUUACCAACCCGAUGCAAACUGCGAAUACCGGAGAAUGUUAUCACGGGAGACACACGGCGGGUGCUAACGUCCGUCGUGAAGAGGGAAACAACCCAGACCGCCAGCUAAGGUCCCAAAGUCAUGGUUAAGUGGGAAACGAUGUGGGAAGGCCCAGACAGCCAGGAUGUUGGCUUAGAAGCAGCCAUCAUUUAAAGAAAGCGUAAUAGCUCACUGGUCGAGUCGGCCUGCGCGGAAGAUGUAACGGGGCUAAACCAUGCACCGAAGCUGCGGCAGCGACACUUAUGUGUUGUUGGGUAGGGGAGCGUUCUGUAAGCCUGCGAAGGUGUGCUGUGAGGCAUGCUGGAGGUAUCAGAAGUGCGAAUGCUGACAUAAGUAACGAUAAAGCGGGUGAAAAGCCCGCUCGCCGGAAGACCAAGGGUUCCUGUCCAACGUUAAUCGGGGCAGGGUGAGUCGACCCCUAAGGCGAGGCCGAAAGGCGUAGUCGAUGGGAAACAGGUUAAUAUUCCUGUACUUGGUGUUACUGCGAAGGGGGGACGGAGAAGGCUAUGUUGGCCGGGCGACGGUUGUCCCGGUUUAAGCGUGUAGGCUGGUUUUCCAGGCAAAUCCGGAAAACUAAGGCUGAGGCGUGAUGACGAGGCACUACGGUGCUGAAGCAACAAAUGCCCUGCUUCCAGGAAAAGCCUCUAAGCAUCAGGUAACAUCAAAUCGUACCCCAAACCGACACAGGUGGUCAGGUAGAGAAUACCAAGGCGCUUGAGAGAACUCGGGUGAAGGAACUAGGCAAAAUGGUGCCGUAACUUCGGGAGAAGGCACGCUGAUAUGUAGGUGAAGUCCCUCGCGGAUGGAGCUGAAAUCAGUCGAAGAUACCAGCUGGCUGCAACUGUUUAUUAAAAACACAGCACUGUGCAAACACGAAAGUGGACGUAUACGGUGUGACGCCUGCCCGGUGCCGGAAGGUUAAUUGAUGGGGUCAGCGCAAGCGAAGCUCUUGAUCGAAGCCCCGGUAAACGGCGGCCGUAACUAUAACGGUCCUAAGGUAGCGAAAUUCCUUGUCGGGUAAGUUCCGACCUGCACGAAUGGCGUAAUGAUGGCCAGGCUGUCUCCACCCGAGACUCAGUGAAAUUGAACUCGCUGUGAAGAUGCAGUGUACCCGCGGCAAGACGGAAAGACCCCGUGAACCUUUACUAUAGCUUGACACUGAACAUUGAGCCUUGAUGUGUAGGAUAGGUGGGAGGCUUUGAAGUGUGGACGCCAGUCUGCAUGGAGCCGACCUUGAAAUACCACCCUUUAAUGUUUGAUGUUCUAACGUUGACCCGUGAUCCGGGUUGCGGACAGUGUCUGGUGGGUAGUUUGACUGGGGCGGUCUCCUCCUAAAGAGUAACGGAGGAGCACGAAGGUUGGCUAAUCCUGGUCGGACAUCAGGAGGUUAGUGCAAUGGCAUAAGCCAGCUUGACUGCGAGCGUGACGGCGCGAGCAGGUGCGAAAGCAGGUCAUAGUGAUCCGGUGGUUCUGAAUGGAAGGGCCAUCGCUCAACGGAUAAAAGGUACUCCGGGGAUAACAGGCUGAUACCGCCCAAGAGUUCAUAUCGACGGCGGUGUUUGGCACCUCGAUGUCGGCUCAUCACAUCCUGGGGCUGAAGUAGGUCCCAAGGGUAUGGCUGUUCGCCAUUUAAAGUGGUACGCGAGCUGGGUUUAGAACGUCGUGAGACAGUUCGGUCCCUAUCUGCCGUGGGCGCUGGAGAACUGAGGGGGGCUGCUCCUAGUACGAGAGGACCGGAGUGGACGCAUCACUGGUGUUCGGGUUGUCAUGCCAAUGGCACUGCCCGGUAGCUAAAUGCGGAAGAGAUAAGUGCUGAAAGCAUCUAAGCACGAAACUUGCCCCGAGAUGAGUUCUCCCUGACUCCUUGAGAGUCCUGAAGGAACGUUGAAGACGACGACGUUGAUAGGCCGGGUGUGUAAGCGCAGCGAUGCGUUGAGCUAACCGGUACUAAUGAACCGUGAGGCUUAACC
rnacentral:rRNA from 1 species